GAUGAACGCUGGCGGCGUGCCUAAUACAUGCAAGUCGAGCGAACAGACGAGGAGCUUGCUCCUCUGACGUUAGCGGCGGACGGGUGAGUAACACGUGGAUAACCUACCUAUAAGACUGGGAUAACUUCGGGAAACCGGAGCUAAUACCGGAUAAUAUAUUGAACCGCAUGGUUCAAUAGUGAAAGACGGUUUUGCUGUCACUUAUAGAUGGAUCCGCGCCGCAUUAGCUAGUUGGUAAGGUAACGGCUUACCAAGGCAACGAUGCGUAGCCGACCUGAGAGGGUGAUCGGCCACAAUGGAACUGAGACACGGGCCAGACUCCUACGGGAGGCAGCAGUAGGGAAUCUUCCGAAAUGGGCGAAAGCCUGACGGAGCAACGCCGCGUGAGUGAUGAAGGUCUUCGGAUCGUAAAACUCUGUUAUUAGGGAAGAACAAAUGUGUAAGUAACUAUGCACGUCUUGACGGUACCUAAUCAGAAAGCCACGGCUAACUACGUG
rnacentral:rRNA from 1 species